GCAACCAAGGGUCUCGUAUAUAAAGAGAGGAUAGUUCACCCCUGACGUAAUGUUCCCUCAGACUACUGCAGCGCCCCUGAGAUUCGUACUGUGUAUUCAAGACCGGCCUAAGAAGAAAGCCGGACGGAACUAGUUUUUAGUUGUGUUUAUAUUCUGUACACUUUAGUUCAUACCAGGCGGAUUCCAGACCAGUUGGUUUUUUGAUUUUCAAUGGUGUCAUUUGCCAGUAUUUUUUGGUCUUUGUUUAAGUGAUAUUUUGUGGAGGCGCAACCUGUUGAAUUUUCCUGCUGUACUGAAUAAAAUCCUGAGUUCUAUGUUGAAUUGUUCAUCAUGAAGAGAGCAGAUGAAAGUUAUGACAAACCAUCGCAAAAUACCACAAGAACAUAGAAGACCGGUCUGGUACAUCAUGAGAUUGCAGAUUAGAAGACCUACAUCAUUUCUUCAACUGCUGGAAACUAUAGGGGUUCUUAUCAUCUUCCUAUUAGGCCUCCUUAGUUUUUACAGUAUAACGAAAUGUGCUCUUGAAACAACUUUUUCUUUAUUUGAGGAGUCAAACUUGAAAAUAUUUAAAGAAGAUUUGAGUACAAUCGCAAUAAGUAUCCUAAAAUUGAUGAAAUCCGGAUUACAAGAAGUACUCAGCAUGUUUGACCCACUUCAUGAGAUUGCCACUACCCAAAUUAAUGAUCUUAUUGAUUAUAUAUUAAGAAAGUUGAUAACAAUGCGCUAUGGACAAGGACCAUACAAAUUAAAGGAAAUAUUUCCAGAAAAAUAAAAAAAUUGCUCCAUCAUCAAUCCAAAAUUGUUAGUGUUCGUUAUUUUCUUAUUGAAUAAAUAUGCUACAGACACAAUACACCCCUAAUUUUCUAAAAUAAAUGUUAAUUCUAUGUUGAUUUUAAA